rnacentral:rRNA from 1 species
AACCCUACGGGACGCAGCAGUGGGGGAUAUUGCACAAUGGGGGGAACCCUGAUGCAGCGACGCCGCGUGGGUGAAGAAGCGCCUCGGCGCGUAAAGCCCUGUCAGCAGGGAAGAAAAUGACAGUACCUGACCAAGAAGCCCCGGCUAACUACGUGCCAGCAGCCGCGGUAAUACGUAGGGGGCAAGCAUUAUCCGGAUUUACUGGGUGUAAAGGGAGCGUAGACGGUUAUGUAAGUCUGGAGUGAAAGCCCGGGGCCCAACCCCGGGACUGCUUUGGAAACUGUGUAACUGGAGUACAGGAGGGG